AGCAGAAGACCUUCUCACUGCCUUGGCCUAGCCUUUGUGGAAGGUGAAUACCUGAAAGACUCCACACAUUAAAAAGGUUUGCUGACCACUGCAGACAGUGCUUUACAGGCAGUCCUGUCUUCCAAGAUGACAACAGCAGAUGUGUGCAGUUGAAGGCUGAUUUCACACUUUGAAAGCAGAAAGCUUUUGUUAUAACAACUUCUCUCUGUGGAAGUAAUUGACUUUGGAAGUGAUGAAUCUGGAAAUAUUUAACCCCCCAGGCUUGAAGGAAAAAAAGUCCUUCUUUAAUGGAGUAAAAACGUGCUACAUCUUUGUAUUGAACAUGAGGUAAAAAUACUUUUGUUCCCAUAUUAUUUUCACAGCAACUGAAUAAAAGCAAGAAUAUGUAUUUCAUCUUUCUAUCAGUAGCUGGAGUCUGCCUGUUAAUUCCACCUUGCUCAGAUUUUUAAAGAAGGAAAAGAAGCUAUCCAGACUUUGAAAGCACUAGAUAAAUAUUUGUCAGAAUUAUGAGUUAAUUAAAAUCAUAUUACAGUCAUAUACUCUAAAGGAUCAAAGUACUUUUACACAUGUAUGUGCAAAGAACAUUCAGGAGUUUGUGAAAUCUACUUUUGAAAAUGCAGCUGUUUCUAGGGUGAAAUGUAGCAACUAAUUAAUUGUAAAAGUACACAAUAGCUUAAAACAGCAGGUGGAUAAAACUUUUUCCUGUCACAGCUGUGGCAUAAUAUAAUCAGACAAAAUGCAAUUAUCCAGUUGGAAUUUGAGAAAGAUCUUAUAAUUAACGUAACUAUUUUUCUAAAGAAAAUCUUUGGUGGAUGUACAUGCUGUAAAGAAAACUAGAAAUACUUCAAAGAGGCUUGAUACAUCAGGGCUUUGGUUUUGUUUUCACUGAAACAAACCAAAAUCAAGGUAUCCUCUUCUCACUAAGAAGAAAUAUUGGUUGAUCUACAACUUAAAUAUUCACUUUUAACUUCUUUAUUUCUAAAUUUGUCUUGCUAAUAUCUUCCUUUGGGUUCUGUAAUCAUAUUCUGAUGGA